UAAUUCCUAUUCAAUAGGUUUGGCACUUGGGGUAUAUGUUUCACUUAUGGAACAUUAUUUGCUGUAAAAGGGUUAAUUGCUGCUGGAAGUACUUACAACAAUAGUUCCUUCAUAAGAAAAGCAUGCAACUUUCUGUUGUCAAAGCAGCUAAGUACAGGUGGAUGGGGUGAGACUUAUCUUUCAAGUGAAACUAAGUCUUAUGUGGAUGCUACUAGUCCUCACGGAGUGAACACUGCUUGGGCAAUGUUGGCUUUAGUUUAUGCUGGGCAGGUUGAACGAGAUCCCACACCAUUGUAUCAUGCCGCAAAAGAAUUGAUGAAUAUGCAACUAGACACAGGGGAGUUUCCCCAGCAAGAACACGUUGGAUGCUUCAAUUGCUCCGUGUACUUCAAUUAUGGCAACUACUGCAACUUAUAUCCCAUCUGGGCUAUUGGAGAGUUUCAUCGUCGACUACUUGAGAAGAACUGAAACAUACGAACAUGAUAUGUUACAUCACUUCUCGUAGGUGUAACUGUGCCUAUUGCAAAAGGGGGUAUACACGAACUACAUAUAUGUAAAACAUACAUCCUUAGCACCAAUUGACUAAGGCAAAACACAUUAGAGAACAUUGGUAUCUUAUGUAUUGUAAUGAAAUCUAUAUCUAUUCCUACUAAUAAAGUAAGGUGAUAUACUUGGUUUCGUCUCG